AAAUCUUUGGAAGGUAAAAAAAAGUUAUAAAUUGAUGGACGAGAAUACCCCCAACAAAUAUAUAAUAUAUAUACUUCCCAAUCCCAAUGUACUUAAAAUAUAGAAUAGAAUUAGGAGGGAAUGUGAAACCUGAGAGGUGAACGACGAGAACAUGAGAAUCAGGAUGAUGGACCCAAUCAAAUCGCGGCUCAAAUUCCUCGAAAUUUUUAGCAGAAGAAGAAGGAUUCAUGGCCAUUGCGGUUCGAAUUUCUUCUCAGGCUUUCUCACUACGAAGCUUAGCUCCAUCAAAAUGCAACAACAGUUUUAAGAUGUUCUGUUCUGUUGCAAUGGCCGGUGUAAUUCAAUGCGACAUGAUGACUUCAGAUCUCAACUAGCCAUUCUCCAUCGAAGGAGAACAUUUCAAGCAUUGGAAACAAAAAAAUGUUGUUCUUUUUAACCUAGCUGGCACCGCUUGCACUACUGAAGAGAAAUUUCCUUUUAAAUCUAGAAAUAAUGGUGCCUAAAUAGUCAAACUAAUGGGGGGCUAAAGUUACUCCAUAGCUUACCUUCAAUUAGGAUCCAAACCCAAAAUAAGGAAUUAGAUCCUGAACCUAGAAGAAACAAGAGAGUGAGAAUCAUAAAAGAUUUUGGAGAAGGCUUUAAAAUGUUUAAUGUAUGUCGCCACAUGUCGGAGAUGACGCGAAGCGGUCUACGUCCUCAAAAGAAUUAGUUUUACAAGGAGUCGUCAAUCUUUCUUACGGUGUGGUGGCUAAGUUUCAAAUCUUGAAUUGAAAAUAUUUUUUAAUUUAUUUUUAAAAUAAUGUAUUAUUUUACCCUUCAUUA